UUUCCGUGGAUUACUGAGGUACAUACACACGGAUAUCAGUAGCAAAGGUAAAUGCAUUUCACACGGAUUUCUGUGGAAAUUCCGCUUACAACCAGCAAAUUGAUCCAAAUCUGAAGCAUAUCGAUCCAUGUCCUUCUCCCCCACCCCUAAAGCGUAUCGAUGUCCUUCUCCCCCAAAUCGAUUCAGCCUUAUCAGAGGUCUGGAAGCGGUCGUAGGCAACAACAAUUUGAUAUCUCCCCCAAUUUCGAUCCGGUGUCUCCGCCCAUUACUCCCUAUCUCUAUCAUUCAAUUCUGGAGUGAGUUCAUUGCUGAAUGUUAUAUGAGGAGGUCCUAUAUGUCGGGUUUCACUCUUGAUCAUAGUUCCACACUAAUUGUUACAGGGGUUUGAAUCUCUAAGCAGAUCUAUCUCUCCAACUCUCAAUUCCUCUCUAGUCAGGUUUGUCAAGAUGUUUACUUCAAGAGAAAGAGAAAGUACAGUGCUUGGAUGGAAAGGCCUAUGUUGGCGUCACUGAGCACAUUCCAGCAAUGACCAUUCUUUUAUAUUUGAUUUAUCAUGAACUUUUCUUUGAUAUUAUUUAUAUUAACCAUAGAAAUUGUUGGUUGAUGAAUUUGAAUUUUCUAUAAAAGGAUUUAAGAGGAUAAACUCCGAAACUAGAAAAUGUGUGGAUUCCCUCGUAUUCUCGAGGAAUAAAAUAGAGGCUAAGGGUUUACUAAGUUGGUUGUGACUUGUAAAAGAUCAUAUCAGGAUCAGGUUGUAAGUUGAACAAAUCAGUAGAUACGUUGCAUAUAAAAUGACCAGCUCUUCCAUUUUCAUGAAUUCUUGGAGUGUUUUGUUCAGGUGGUAUGAUUCUAGUAUAAAUUUGACUGUUGGUUUGCUUAAUGUAGAUGUGGAUAUCUAAGCCAGAGUAUGUAGACUUUGGUCCAUCCAUUUGUCCACGGUAACUUACUACACAUGUGAUUGGAUUGUUUUUCCCCCCUCUUGGCUUCUGUGGUUCGUUUGUCAUGUGAGAUUUGGUGUGCUUCUGGUCUGCUUGUAAUCUUGUUUUUUCUUUCUUGCUAUCACAUUUACUUUCAUACUGCUCUUGUUUUAAUAUGUCAUCAGUAAUUUAUUGUUGUUUCUGAUAUGUGUGCUUUACUGCCUUUCUUGAUUGUUGAAAAGAUAAAAAUGAUAGUAUCAUUAAUCAGGUUGUUUGUUUCCGAUGCUAUUAGGGAGUUUGAUAUGGCUGGAAAAUUGAGACAGACGUUACCAAUCAAACCUAUAAAGUAUAAACAUAGACGUAGCCACAUACUUGACUUCAGUUAUGUUUUUCCACUCAGUGAUAAAGGCCAAAGUCAUUUGUCAUAAGCCGAAUUGAAUCUAGUUAUAGAAAAGUAGUUAUCAAAACUCAAAAUGCUUCAUGCGAUAUAUAUCAUGACUGCGUGAAUGGUUACCUUUUGACAAGUUCUUGCAUACCAGUUUUUGGCACAUGGAGAGAUCAAGAACCUGUAGCUGUUCCCAAAUCACUAUUGCUGUAUGAUCAAAGUUUGGUUUCUAAAUAAUAUCUGUAACUUUAUCACAGGUGGAAACUUGUAUGGACCCUAAUGGAUCAGCACUGGAAACGCUUGGACCAACAACUUUAUUCAUGGGAGAGGAUAACAGCAACAGGCAAACCUUGGAGCUGAAAUUCUGAGUACAGAAGCACAUUUGCAUUAGGUAGAGUCUUUGCCUUCUUGUCUGUUUAUUAUGGAGCUGGGCAACUAGAUACAAGAUGGUAUGGUGAACACUAUGCUAGUAGAGGUGAGGAUGCAGACUGCGCAUUGCUUCCUGAGCCAUCAAUGAUGGGUAUCGACCCGAAAUGCCUCAAACUGUUCCAAAUUCGCUGCUGAACUGAAAGGGUUGGUUUCACUUACCAUUAGCUGGUUUGAUGGUUAUGUUUGUCUACUUUGAGUUGGUCCUCAAAGCAUUUUGAUGGAAAUUAUUCUUGGACAAGGAUUAUAUUGUUAAAAGGGGGAAAUCUUAGUGAUAUUCCACCUUCAAUAACAAUGUAUGCUAGAAAGCAGCCUUUUUUUUUUGUAAUCCAAGAAUUUACUUUGGUAUGAAAUGUAUUUUGCUAGGAAUGUAAAUAACAUCUUGCUAUGAAUGCAAAGUUUAAUAUUUUCGAUUGA